rnacentral:rRNA from 1 species
GACGAACGCUGGCGGCGCGCCUAACACAUGCAAGUCGAACGGAGCUUAAAGAGCUUGCUUUUUGAGCUUAGUGGCGAACGGGUGAGUAACGCGUGAGUAACCUGCCCUGGAGUGGGGGACAACAGUUGGAAACGACUGCUAAUACCGCAUAAGCCCACGGAUCCGCAUGGAUCUGCGGGAAAAGGAUUUAUUCGCUUCAGGAUGGACUCGCGUCCAAUUAGCUAGUUGGUGAGGUAACGGCCCACCAAGGCGACGAUUGGUAGCCGGACUGAGAGGUUGAACGGCCACAUUGGGACUGAGACACGGCCCAGACUCCUACGGGAGGCAGCAGUGGGGGAUAUUGCACAAUGGGGGAAACCCUGAUGCAGCGACGCCGCGUGGAGGAAGAAGGUUUUCGGAUUGUAAACUCCUGUCGUUAGGGACGAUAAUGACGGUACCUAACAAGAAAGCACCGGC